UGAUGGGCGGUUGAUCAGCGUGCUUGAAUCUUGUUGAGGGGGCGGGACAUUGUCAUGUCCCUUCUUUUUCUCAGCGGGACGACUUUUUGAAUCAAGAGUUGAUUGGUGGAGAGGCUUACCACCAGCAGCACCUGAAGUUUUUUGACGUUUAGGGUCCCUGACGUUGUCAGAACCCGAGGUACCUUCAUUCUUCUUCUUCUGCUCAGUUUCGGCGGCCCUCUUUUUCGCCGCCGCAGCAGACUGGGCGAGGUACUCCUUCAUCUUGAGUGGGUUCGCGUCAACCUUGCCUUUUCCCAUCGUAGCUGUACGGAAAACAUCAAUUAGACGAGAUACAUGAACAAAAAGAAAAAGAAGUUACGUACAAAGAUUAUAAACUUACUAAAAAAUUGAUUUAAAGUGCCGGAUUUCGACGCCUCAAUCAAGUCGUGACCGGAAAUUACUGGUAGUGUGCGGAGGUAAUCGGCGACGCCUUGUUCAGAUUCAUCCAAGGCGUCGUAUGAAACAGAUAUUUUUCGGCGAGGGUUCUUUGUCCAGUAAAAAGGGAAGAGGGGGUUAUUGUCAGAAUCUCGGAACAAGUUCUUUAUUUCGGGCGACUCCACAACUUUAAAGUAUUUCUUCUGCCAUACUUUGUAAUGGCUUUUAAGGGCGGUAAACCGACUCAUGUUCUUACGGGCUAAUAGUGGAACCCAUUUCACAGAAGUAGGUUUAGUGGUGACUGAUUUAUAGAAAAGGAAGAACAAGGGAUAGGUUGGAGUGAAACUCAAGUGUUCACAAAGAAUUUCAAAGCAGCGGAGGAAACCCCAGGCGUUGGGCUGGAGUUGGCAAGGCGCCACAUUCAGAAAAGAAAGAACGUGACAUAUAAACGGCGAGAAAGGAAGUUUAAUGUUUAAAUCUAAGAAGAAGUAGCCAUAAACAAAGAAAAAAUCGGGCGAUCCAUCGUCUGGUUCUUUACGCAACAGAACACAGUCAUCUUCGCCACAUGGGAGGACAUUCAACAGAUGAUCUUCAUUAUUCGAGGUGGCGGGAUCUAUCUUCGUGAACCCUUGAGCAGAAAUUCGAAGCGAACUAAUGCUCCCAACGCUGCUCCAGAUAGAAUGCAACAGACAUUUAUCUUCAACUAAAUGCACGUCAGAGCGCCAUUCAGGUGAAGACAAAUCUCCGUUAGAGGAGAGAAUUGAGUCUACAGAGCCGGCGGGACCGGAAUCAUCAUGGGUAGAAGGCGAGGAAUGAAUUUCAAUUAUAGAAGGGGCGACAACUUCCUCCUCCGUGGAGGGUGAAGAAAGUUCUAGGGAAGAAAGGCUAGCGUUUGGUAAAGACAUGCGAGGCAGUUUCAUAAAAAGAAGAUGAACAGAGUUAAAAGUAAAAAGAAGAUGAACAGAGUUAAAAGAAGAAAGAAGAUGAACAGAGUCAGAAAAAAGAAGUAAACGAAGAGUCUCAAGAAAGAGAAAAACUAACCAGAGGGAGAAACGUGAAUUUGAGAAAGGAGAACGUCGGCGAUAGGGGAGCACCGCGCAAUGACGACGGCCGGAGGAAGAAAAGGUUCACCGGAGUUCAAAGAAGAGAAUGAAAGCUGCGGUGAAAAGGGUUUUCAGAGCAAAAGUGAAAAAUGAAAAGUGAAAAGGGGAUUUUAUAGAGAGAAAGGAAGAGAGAGAAUGAGUGGGGGAAGAUCGUGGGAUCGUGGGAUUUGAAAUUCGAAAAGUUAGGAAGCGAAAAGACAUUACUCCUCGAGACGCGCAACUGAAGAUUGCAUUUAUAACAAAUGAUGACGAAAUCCCGGAAAAUAAGGAUACGUGCGUCAGUUGAAAAGACGUGGUUGACGGUUAUGAUUAAUGGCGACAUAUCUUUGAAACGGCAACAAAGGUGGCGAAGCGUGAAAAUGGCGAUGUAACAACGAAGGUAAAAUGGCGAUGAACGAAUAAACAAUGGAGGCGAACUACUAGGUAACAUGAUGAAGACAUUUCAACUCUUUACUCGAGUCUCAUGUCUUGGGGGCAUGUGGACUGGGCGGGACAUAAAGAAGAUUAUGUCCCGCCCAAAAUGAACAAUAAACCAUUGACGAUAGCCAAGGCGGGAAAGGCAACAUGACGAGCUUCAUUGCCCUCCCUUAGGUGAUGGACCCACAAGCCAGCUGGAAGAUUCCUUUGGAUUUGUCUUAUGUGUACGGGGAUUUGGGCCCUGAUUGUCAGGCCCAAAUAUAGGAAAGAUCCAUAUCAUGACCACCCCCUCUAUAAAAGGGGAGGUCAUCCACUUGUACGAGACCAACUUUUUCAGCAUUAAUGAGAAUAUUCCUUUUAUGGUAGUUUUGCUAUUUUAGUGCUCUGCUAGGGUUUACUUUUUGUCUUUCUCUUACAUAAGCUUGCCCUAGUACAGAACACUCACUAUUUCUUUUUCUUCCUUCACGUUUUCUUUCUUUCUUCAGCAGACCCAUUUCUGCUCUUUCUUCCUUUCUUCUCCUUUUCUUCUUCUUUUCUUUCUUUGUUACCUACUUUAUCUCCUUCUUUUAUUUGCUGCAACAACUCCCCACCGUUCCUCUUUCUCUUUUGAUCAGCAUCUCCACAUCCUUUUCUUCUCCAUGGACAACCAGUCCAUGAGCCACCACCUCUACUCUCCCUCUUGCAACCGCUGAUCACACCAUCACUAUCACCAUGAUUCUUCUCCUUUCUAACUUGCAGCAACAAACAUGGCACCACCACCAAUAUGAAAGCCACACACACCCCUUCUCAUCACAUAUUUGCUCCAUCUUCUAACCACCACCGUUCCUUGCUCUCCAUGGAGCCUAACAAUCCACCAUCUUUGUUCUCCUUCUUCUGGUUUUGAAUGGAGACCCCCAUGAAAGGACCCAAGCACCACCACCGUGAGCUCCACCACGCAGAGGACGCCACCGGCACAUCAUCUUCUCAUUUUCCUUGGUAAAAGCCUUAAUUUCUUGAUUAGUAUGUUUGUAUAUUUGAUUUCUAAAUUUAUCUGGGGUUUAGAUGAAUCAAAAUGGUUUGAGAUAGUGUUAUGGUGCUGAGAACAUGUUGGAAAUUUCAAAACCACGUUCUGUUAUGAAGUCCGUCACAAACAUCAGUUUUUCCGUCACAAAGCUCUGUUUUUCCGUCACUAACAGAACCUGCAGGGGACAAUUCCCUGUUUCGGUUCUCCAACUUGAAAAUUGCAUAACUCUCUCAUCUUUUAUCCGUUUUAGGUGUAUGACCACUUUUUAGAAAGCCCCAAGAGUCUACUUUAAUAUAAAACAUAUUUGAAACUCUUUCUACUGCUAAUUGGCUGAAGAAAAUAUAUAUUUCUAAUGUAAUAUGUUUUACUAAUCUCUUUACGAAGGUUGAGUGGUUGAGUAGAGUUUUAUGUUAAUGUAUUAAGUUUUCUAAAAAGUUGUUUCCUUUGAGUUAAGUGGUUUUGGGGGUUUUAAGGAUUUUGUUUUAAGCCUUAAUGUGCUUGAAAAGCUUUUGCGAAAACUCACAUAAAACUGUUGUUGUUUUCAAAAGUAGUAGCCGCUGUUCUGUUAAAAUCGUAUGUUUCGGUUAAUAUUUUCGAACUGUGUUCUUCAUAAAAGUUGUAGCUUUUUCUGUGAGCAAACUUUUGACACUGGUUUCGUUUCGUUUCGAUUUGUCUAGCUCAAGUUAUACGCAUUUUGGUGAGCACGGGUUAAGCUGUCCCGUUUCUCACGAACUGCUGUAGUAUUCGAUUUUUCCUGAAUUUUUUACUUUGAAUUUAGACUUGAAAAUUUAUGAGGAUUUACAAAACCUGUAGAUGAAGCCAGGAUAAAAAUAUUAGAUUUUUCGGAGGUCAUUUGACGUAUUUAACAAUUAGCUAAAGUUGCUGUACAGUUUAUAAUCGUUUGACAAAAUUAGUUAUUUCAAGUGAAAAGAAUUGCUUUGGGAAAAAGAUGAGAAAACCUUUUAUUUUAAUCGAUAUUGCAAUGCUUUGGAGUAGGAAGACAUAUUUUUAAACUUACUUACGUACGUUGUUUAUCCGUUUAUGAAAAUAGAGAACGUUUGAGUUCACACACAUUUAUUCGUUAAAAAGCGAUUGCGAAAAGUUUUGAAAGUCGAACAAGUUGUCGGAGUGUUUGGGAAUAAGCGUAUUGAUACUAUCUCGCUAGUCGAUGGAUGCUUAGGAAUAACAAGAUUGGAUAGAGUUAGAGCAAUUAAGUUUGGAUUUCCGAGUGAGGAAUUAGACUCCGAAAGGUAUUAAUUAGAAUGGAUUAACUUAUGAUUGCAAUCUUGAUGUUGGAAGAUGACUUAGGAUUGAAUCUUGAAUUCCAAGAAGUCUAUGAGCUUUACUAUAAAUACUUGGUUCUAGAAGGUCUAGAUUUGAAACUUUGGAAGUUCAAGGACUUAAAAGUGAUUAAGGGAUUGAUUGAGGACUAGAAGUUAUUUCUUAGAGAUUGAUGACUUAUCUAUAAGUUGGGAUUUUUGUAGAACCAAAGUGGAGUUUCGAAGAGACUAGGGUUGUGUGUCUAAUGAGAUAUCGCGAGUUUAAGUUUAAGAGAAAUGAUUCGAUCGUUUUGAAGGAGCUUAUGAGUCAUGAAUAAGUACAUAAUCAUUAGAUAAGAAGAGUUGGUUGCCUUGGAAGUUAACUAUGGUUUAUGGAUUACUUGAUAAGAGUUAGUGGUUUUGAUAAGAAUUGAUAAUGAUACAACGUUGGCUUGAGGAAUAGAUCGUGAGAGCGAGUUGAGACAUUAAGUUGUUGUAGGUGACUUGAUAAGUAAGUAUUGAGGAUAAAGAGGAUUAUGGAAUAGAAAACGGGAAGAGAUUACUUAAGGAGGAUGAUAGGAGUAAGCUAUUGCAGAUGCUGUGUUAAUUGCUUUAACGGGAAGUGGUGUGUAGUAUUGCGAAAAUACCUCAAUGAGUAUCCUAUUAGAGACUGAGAUCUCUAAGGAAAAUGAGAGGAGUAAGUACUAGUAAUGUGUACUUAUCUAUUUUGACAAGCAUAUGAGUAUUUGGUUUUAAAGUUGAUUUACUAAGUCAUAAGAUUUUGAAGCUUUGUUAUUGCUUUGUUGUCAUUAUGAUGACUUAUCUUAAUUUCUGAGGUUGAUCUUGAUGGUUUAUAACCAUUAAGGAGAUUGAGUUUAACUUGUGAUUUCUUCGAGUCAAUUGCUUGAGAGUGUAGCUUUAGACUUGGAAAGUAGGUAGCUCAAUUAGUGAUUAUGUUAUGUGUACUUAUGAAGGGUAUGAAUAACGGAAGCGCUUGACGAAGAAGCCAAAGAACAGACGGAAGUGAGCCAACACGGGAAAGCAAAGAUAUGACUGGAUUUGAUUUGAGUCGCAACUUAGUAAGGAAAGCGCCUAAGGUUAGGGCAACUUACAUAUUAGCUAUGACUGCAUGAUAGGCGUCGAUAAAUUCGACUUAUGCUUUAUCUGAUGUUGUUUUUGAUGAUGAGUUGAUGUUAUGAUGCUUUUCCAUACUUGUGAUGUUGUGCUUUUGUUGGAUUGAGCGUUUUGACGCAAUUUCGGAGUGGAGAUUCAUUGAUCUGGUGAUCUUUGAUAUUUCGGGUUGGAUGAACAACCCUAGGCAAGUCCAAAUGUGGGGUUUGAGACUUAGCCAUAUGUUGGAAUUCUUAGACUUUCCCCGGGAAAUGUAUUUUGGGUGGUUGAUCUUUGAAAACUUAGAAUGAUAGAGCUUUGAAAAACUAAAGACUUGGGAAACUUAGACUUUGAGAAAUAAACUCAUAACUUGACUAAUUCGAAUUGAAACAAUUUUUAUUAACGUUUAAGCAUAGGAGAACUGAAGGGGAAAAUAUUUACGAAAGACGGGGAAAAGUCGACUUUGUUGUGGGUUUGGAGAGUUAUUGGAAUCGGGAAAGCCACUGAGGUGAGCUAUGGUGAUGAUUGAAAGUCACCGAGUACUCUAGUACUCUUGGGAGUGUUGUUCGAGUCGUGUUGUAUUGACCGGCACAGGCUCUGGGCUUUGUUUGUGGGUUUUGUGGUGGGAGUUGUGUUGUAUUGACCGACACUAACUCCGAGUCGUGUUGUAUUGACCGACACUGACUCUGGCUUUGAUUUUGGGUUAUCUUGUUGUUGGAGCCGUGUUGUAUUGACCGACACUUAGUGCUCUUGUUGUUUGGGCUGUGUUGUAUUGACCGACACUAGACCCUUGUGUAUUCUUGUUGGUGGAGUGGUGUUGUAUUGACCGACACUUACUCCGAGUUGUGUUGUAUUGACCGACACUAACUCUUGGGUUUGUUGUGAGUUUGGGUUUUGAGCUAAACACUUACGUGGUAAGGACGAUUCGUUGUUUGGCUAACCAUAUUGCAUCAAUCGGGUGAAUAACGGGAAUGGUUCACCUGUGCAUCUCAUGGUGAAUAACGGGAAUGGUUCACCCUGCAUUAAUGAUGAAUAACGGGAAUGGUUCAUCAUAUGGUGAAUAACGGGAAUGGUUCACCAAGGAUGAAUAACGGGAAUGGUUCAUCCAGGAUGAAUAACGGGAAUGGUUCAUCCAUAGUGAAGAACGGGAAUGCUUCACUUGUGGCGAACGGGAACGCGUCACAAAUCCGGAUCAUGAUUGCAUAUCACACAUACAUUCAUUCUGACUUGAACUGUGUGCUGUUUGAUUAUUGAAGCAUUGUUAGAGCCAUAACAUGCUAGGAUUGUUUAUAUAUAUGUAUAUAUGAACAUAUAUCUAUACCCCAUAUCACAUGUUGAGUGUAUAUCUACUUAUUUCUGUGAGUUGACCCUAGCGCCUUGGCUUUGUUUGUAUGUUUGUGUUUGGGCGGUCGGCUUAAACCAAUAACGGUAAGCUUUUCUACCCAAAGGCUCUAGCCCUACACCCGACUCUAUUCUUCGAGUCUUCUAUAGAUCUUCCAAGUGGAGUAGCAUCUGCUCACAUCACCUCCUUUCGUCGUCUGGCAGCAGGUUCGGGUAGGUUUCGGUGCAUUGCUUUCCUAUGGUUACUCAGUGUGGAAAUCAUAGGGAGUAUAUCGGAUUUAUGGAGUCAUUGCAUAGUGAGUCCGUUGUUGGAUCUUAGUUUAUUUGUCAUGUACUCUAUGCUGUGCCUUGAUCGAGGCCAGAUGUAAAUUAUUUACGGUUGGGAGUAUGCAUUACAUAUUUUAGAAACACUUCGAAAAGGAAAAAAAAAUAAAUACUCACAUUUAUAAAUCCCUUUUGGAAAAGAUUGCAUAAUUACUUUAACAUGUUACUACCGUGGCACCCGAAAAUCGGGGUGUUACAAGCUCCUCCAAGCGAAGGGUGGAAGGAAAUGGGAGGUGGGUCUCAAAGUUCUGGCUCGUAUUCUUGUUCACAGAGGAGGAAGGGAGGUCCGAUUUGCGAUUGUGGUUUUCAGGCUCCACUAGUUACAUCCUGGACUGGUGAUAACCCUGGGCGAAAAUUUUACGGAUGUGGACUGUUCAAGAUACAUGGCAAGAGAGUCUGCAGAUUCUUUGUUUGGUAUGAUGAAUAUCAUGGACUAGUAAAAUGUGAUAGGUUUGAUGAAGAAAUUGCAAGGGAGAAGAAAAUUAUUGGUACACUGUUGAGGAAGAUUGAUGAUAUGAAGAAGAAGGAAAGGUUGUUGGAGAUUUCUUUGGGGACUUGUAUGGUUUAGAUGAUUCUGUUGGUGUUUGCUUAUGUAAACAAAUAGGGGGAUAGUUGGUGUUGGGCUAUGUAAUUUGUUGUAGUUGUUAUGUUGUUAUGUAUGAAAUUGAGAUUUUGAUGCAAUGUAAACCUGUGGUAUUUCAUGAAUGAAUUAGAGACCUGUGGUAUUUUAGCCA